rnacentral:rRNA from 1 species
UACGGGGGGAGCAAGCGUUGUUCGGAUUUACUGGGCGUAAAGGGCGCGUAGGCGGUCAGCACAAGUCAGUUGUGAAAUCUCCGGGCUUAACUCGGAAAGGUCAACUGAUACUGUGCGACUAGAGUGCAGAAGGGGCAACUGGAAUUCUCGGUGUAGCGGUGAAAUGCGUAGAUAUCAAGAGGAACACCUGCGGCGAAGGCGGGUUGCUGGGCCGACACUGACGCUGAGGCGCGAAAGCUAGGGGAGCGAACGGG